rnacentral:rRNA from 1 species
UACGUAGGGGGCUAGCGUUGUCCGGAAUCAUUGGGCGUAAAGCGCGUGUAGGCGGUUUGGUAAGUCCGCUGUGAAAGUCGGGGGCUCAACCCUCGAAUGCCGGUGGAUACUGUCGGGCUAGAGUGCGGAAGAGGCGAGUGGAAUUCCUGGUGUAGCGGUGAAAUGCGCAGAUAUCAGGAGGAACACCUAUUGCGAAGGCAGCUCGCUGGGACGUAACUGACGCUGAGACGCGAAAGCGUGGGGAGCAAACAGG